AAAAAAGAAAAAAGCCAAAUGUGUUUGCUCACACUUGUGAUCCGAGCACUUUGGGAGGCCGAGGUGAGAGGAUCACUUAAGCCUAGGAGUUCAAAACCAGCCUCGGCAACAUGGUGAGAACCCAUCUGUACAGAUCAUUUAAAAGUUAGCUGGGUGUGCUGCUGCAUGCCUGUGGUCUCAGCCACUUGGGAGGGUGAGGCAGGAGGAUCGCCUGAGCCUGGAAGAUCGAGGUUGCAGUGAAGCAUGAUUGCACCACUGCACUCCAGCCUGGACAACAGAGCAAGACCCUGUCUUAAAAAAAGAAGAAAGAAAUGUUGAGGGUUUCUUACUCGUCAGCUGUAGCCUUUGCUGAUAAGAUGCCCUUGUGUCUCUGCAGUGUGUGAUCCAGUCUUGGGUGACAAGUGGGAUGGCGAAGGCUCGAUGUACGUCCCGGAGGACCUCCUUCCCGUCUACAAAGAAAAAGUGGUGCCGCUUGCAGACAUUAUCACGCCCAACCAGUUUGAGGCCGAGUUACUGACUGGCCAGAAGAUCCACAGCCAGGAGGAAGCCUUGCGGGUGAUGGACAUGCUGCACUCUAUGGGCCCCGACACCGUGGUCAUCACCAGCUCCAACCUGCCCUCCCCGCAGGGCAGCGACUACCUGAUCGUGCUGGGGAGCCAGAGGAGGAGGAAUCCCGCUGGCUCCGUGGUGAUGGAACGUAUCCGGAUGGACAUUCGCAAGGUGGAUGCCGUCUUUGUGGGCACUGGGGACCUGUUUGCUGCCAUGCUCCUGGCGUGGACACACAAGCACCCCAAUAACCUCAAGGUGGCCUGUGAGAAGACCGUGUCUACCUUGCACCAUGUUCUGCAGAGGACCAUCCAGUGUGCAAAAGCCCAGGCCGGGGAAGGAGUGAGGCCCAGCCCCAUGCAGCUGGAGCUGCGGAUGGUGCAGAGCAAAAGGGACAUCGAGGACCCAGAGAUCGUCGUCCAGGCCACGGUGCUGUGAGGGCCGCGCCGCUCGCCCGUGACACGCAGCGCGUUGGUGUCUCCGUGUUUGUCCCUGUGAAAACAUGUAACGUCUGCCUUAGAGCCAUGACCGAAACUUGAUAUUUUUUU
rnacentral:sRNA from 1 species